AUUGAACGCUGGCGGCAGGCCUAACACAUGCAAGUCGAGCGAGCGGCGGACGGGUGAGUAAUGCCUGGGAAACUGCCUGAUGGAGGGGGAUAACUACUGGAAACGGUAGCUAAUACCGCAUACUAUUAGAUGUGCCAAGAGGGGAUCAGUUUGUAGGGGGGGUAACGGCUCACCUAGGCGACGAUACCUAGCUGGUCUGAGAGGAUGACCAGCCACACGGGAACUGAGACACGGUCCAGACUCCUACGGGAGGCAGCAGUGGGGAAUAUUGCACAAUGGGCGCAAGCCUGAUGCAGCCAUGCCGCGUGUGUGAAGAAGGCCUUCGGGUUGUAAAGCACUUUCAGCGAGGAGGCGUUACCCGCAGAAGAAGCACCGGCUAACUCCGUGCCAGCCGCCGCGGUAAUAC
rnacentral:rRNA from 1 species